CUAUUUUUCGAUACUUACAGAUUCACCCCUACCUGUCUGUCAAUAAGUAGGGUUGGAGGAGUGAGUUUGUUCGCCAUCACAAACACAAAUGGCAUCCAAGAGCACCAGCCGUCUUCUCCCAGUCCCUGCCUUCCUCCUCCUUGCUCUCCUGCUCCUCUCCUUCGGGGAUGUGGAGAAAGCAGAGGCGAGGAUCUGUUCGACUCCCAGCCUCAAGUUCCACGGCCUGUGCUUCAGCGACACGAACUGCGCAAACAUCUGCCGCACUGAACACUUCCCUAAGGGCUCCUGCCAGGGCUUCCGGAGGCGAUGCAUGUGCGAGACGCCAUGCCCAUCUGAAAACUAGUUACUUCCUCGUUUAUAGGCCCUUUUUUCGCCGUUACGAGAGGCCUGGUCCGAGAAAAGCGGCCAGUACUGUCUGUGGUGGGGAUGCAACCAGCUAGUAGUAGUGAUGUCUUUGAUGCCUGAAUUCCUAUCCUUCUCUCUCUCUUGUCAAAUGCUGUUUUCCUCUUUCCGUUCCUCAUGUGGAACAAAUAAAAUGAAUUUGGCAGCA